rnacentral:rRNA from 1 species
GACGAACCGUACGAACGUUGUUCGGAAUCACUGGGCAUAAAGAGCACGUAGGCUGCGCGCUAAGUCAGGUGUGAAAUCCCCCGGCUCAACCGGGGAACUGCACCUGAUACUGGCGUGCUCGAGGACGGUAGGGGUGAGUGGAACUCCAGGUGGAGCGGUGAAAUGCGUAGAUAUCUGGAGGAACACCGGCGGCGAAAGCGGCUCACUGGACCGUCUCUGACGCUGAGGUGCGAAAGCGUGGGGAGCAAACAGG